rnacentral:rRNA from 1 species
GAUGAACGCUGGCGGCGUGCUUAACACAUGCAAGUCGAACGGAAAGGCCCAAGCUUGCUUGGGUACUCGAGUGGCGAACGGGUGAGUAACACGUGGGUGAUCUGCCCUGCACUUCGGGAUAAGCCUGGGAAACUGGGUCUAAUACCGGAUAGGACCACUUCCUGGAUGUUGUGGUGGAAAGUUUUUUCGGUGUGGGAUGAGCUCGCGGCCUAUCAGCUUGUUGGGGGGGUAAUGGCCUACCAAGGCGUCGACGGGUAGCCGGCCUGAGAGGGUGUACGGCCACAUUGGGACUGAGGUGCGGCCCAGACUCCUACGGGAGGCAGCAGUGGGGAAUAUUGCACAAUGGGCGCAAGCCUGAUGCAGCGACGCCGCGUGGGGGAUGACGGCCUUCGGGUUGUAAACUCCUUUCGCUAGGGACGAAGCGUUUUGUGACGGUACCUGGAGAAGAAGCACCGGCUAACUACGUG